GGCAACAGCUCAAAUUUGAAAUCUGGCCCCCUCGGGGCCCGAGUUGUAAUUUGGAGAAGAUGCUUCGGGUGUGGCCCCGGUCUAAGUUCCUUGGAACAGGACGUCACAGAGGGUGAGAACCCCGU
rnacentral:rRNA from 1 species